rnacentral:rRNA from 1 species
AACGAACGCUGGCGGCAUGCCUAACACAUGCAAGUCGAACGAGACCUUCGGGUCUAGUGGCGCACGGGUGCGUAACGCGUGGGAACCUGCCCUUAGGUUCGGAAUAACUUCCCGAAAGGGGUGCUAAUACCGGAUAAUGUCUUCGGACCAAAGAUUUAUCGCCUUUGGAUGGGCCCGCGUUGGAUUAGCUAGUUGGUAGGGUAAAAGCCUACCAAGGCGACGAUCCAUAGCUGGUCUGAGAGGAUGAUCAGCCACACUGGGACUGAGACACGGCCCAGACUCCUACGGGAGGCAGCAGUGGUGAAUAUUGGACAAUGGGCGAAAGCCUGAGCCAGCAAUGCCGCGUGAGUGAUGAAGGCCUUAGGGUUGUAAAGCUCUUUUACCCGGGAUGAUAAUGACAGUACCGUGAGAAUAAGCUCCGGCUAACUCCGUG